rnacentral:rRNA from 1 species
AACGUGGGGAAGUGAAACAUCUCAGUACCCAUAGGAAGAGAAAACAAAAGUGAUUCCGUGAGUAGUGGCGAGCGAAAGCGGAUGAGGCUAAACCAUGCGCAUGUGAUACCGGGUAGGGGGUUGUGUGUGUGGUGUUGUGGGGUUCAUCUUCUUCCAUCUGCCUGUGGAAGCGUGAGUCAGAAAAUCGUGUGUUAGGUGAAGUGGCCUGGAAUGGUCUGCCGUAGACGGUGAGAGUCCGGUAGCUGAAAACACAUGGUCUUGCGUGAUGUUCUCCCAAGUAGCAGCGGGCUCGUGGAAUCUGCUGUGAAUCUGCCGGGACCACCCGGUAAGCCUGAAUACUUCCUGGUGACCGAUAGCGGACAAGUACCGUGAGGGAAAGGUGAAAAGUACCCCCCCGGGAGGGGAGUGAAAUAGUACCUGAAACCGGACGCUUACAAUCCGUCAGAGCCUGCGCCUUCGGGGGGUGGGUGAUGGCGUGCCUUUUGAAGAAUGAGCCUGCGAGUUAGUGCUCGGUGGCGAGGUUAACCCGUGUGGGGGGUAGCCGUAGCGAAAGCGAGUCUGAAUAGGGCGUUUGAGUCGCCGGGUCUAGACCCGAAGCGGAGUGAUCUACCCAUGGCCAGGGUGAAGCGACGGUAAGACGUCGUGGAGGCCCGAACCCACUUCAGUUGAAAAUGGAGGGGGAUGAGCUGUGGGUAGGGGGGGUGAAAGGCCAAUCAAACUCCGUGAUAGCUGGUUCUCCCCCCCGAAAUGCAUUUAGGUGCAGCGUCACAUGUUUCUUACCGGAGGUAGAGCUACUGGAUGGCCGAUGGGCCCCACAGGGUUACUGACGUCAGCCAAACUCCGAAUGCCGGUAAGUGAGAGUGUGGCAGUGAGACUGCGGGCGAUAAGGUUCGUAGUCGAGAGGGAAACAGCCCAGAUCGCCGGCUAAGGCCCCCCCUAAGCGUGUACUAAGUGGAAAAGGAUGUGGGGUCGCGAAGACAACCAGGAGGUUGGCUUAGAAGCAGCCACCCUUGAAAGAGUGCGUAAUAGCUCACUGGUCAAGUGAUCCUGCGCCGACAAUGUAGCGGGGGGCUCAAGUACACCGCCGAAGCCGCGGCACUCACACAAUAGCCCGUUCUCCGUUUACGGAUGGUGAACCAGGUGUGUGGGUGGGUAGGGGGAGCGUCCUGCAUCCGUGGAAGCCACAGAGUGAUCUAGUGGUGGAGGGUGUGGGAGUGAGAAUGCAGGCAUGAGUAGCGAAAGCAGAGUGAGAAACUCUGCCGCCGAAUGACCAAGGGUUCCUGGGCCAGGCUAAUCCGCCCAGGGUGAGUCGGGACCUAAGGCGAGGCCGACAGGCGUAGUCGAUGGACAACGGGUUGAUAUUCCCGUACCCGUGUAUCCGCGCCCAUGCUGAAUCAGUUGUACUAACCAUCCAGAUCCCCCCCAGGAGCACCUUCGGGUGCCGGGUGGGGUGAUGCAUGGGACCUUGGCUGGUAGUAGGCAAGCGAUGGGGGUGACGCAGGAAGGUAGUGGGGGCCAGUCAGUGGUUGUACUGGUGUAAGCCUGUAGGGCGUGUUCUAGGCAAAUCCGGAACACAGUGAGCCUGAGAGGUGAUGCGUAGCCGUUGCGGUGAAUUCCAUGAUCCUAUGCUGCCGAGAAAAGCCUCUAGUGAGUUGGUACACGGCCCGUACCCCAAACCAACACAGGUGGUCAGGUAGAGAAUACUAAGGCGAUCGAGAGAACUGUGGUUAAGGAACUCGGCAAAAUGCCCCCCCCGUAACUUCGGGAGAAGGGGGGACCCAUCCUGGUGACGAGAUUUACUCUCUGAGCUGGUGUGGGUCGCAGAGACCAGAGAGAAGCGACUGUUUACUAAAAACACAGGUCCGUGCGAAGUCGUAAGACGAUGUAUACGGACUGACGCCUGCCCGGUGCUGGAAGGUUAAGAGGACCGGUUAGUUCCUUUCGGGGGAGCGAAGCUGAGAAUUUAAGCCCCCCCAGUAAACGGCGGUGGUAACUAUAACCAUCCUAAGGUAGCGAAAUUCCUUGUCGGGUAAGUUCCGACCUGCACGAAUGGCGUAACGACUUCUCUGCUGUCUCAACCACAGACUCGGCGAAAUUGCAGUACGAGUAAAGAUGCUCGUUACGCGCGGCAGGACGAAAAGACCCCCGGGACCUUCACUAUAGCUUGGUAUUGGUGUUCGGUUCGGUUUGUGUAGGAUAGGUGGGAGACUGUGAAGUGGGCACGCCAGUGUUCAUGGAGUCGUUGUUGAAAUACCACUCUGAUCGUAUUGGACUUCUAACCUCGGACUGAUCGGGUUCAGGGACAGUGCCUGGUGGGUAGUUUAACUGGGGGGGCGGUUGCCUCCUAAAAGGUAACGGAGGCGCCCAAAGGUUCCCUCAGCCUGGUUGGCAAUCAGGUGUUGAGUGUAAGUGCACAAGGGAGCUUGACUGUGAGACGUACAUGUCGAGCAGGGACGAAAGUCGGGACUAGUGAUCCGGCACCGGCAAGUGGAAGCGGUGUCGCUCAACGGAUAAAAGGUACCCCCCCGGGGAUAACAGGCUGAUCUUCCCCCCCAAGAGUCCAUAUCGACGGGAUGGUUUGGCACCUCGAUGUCGGCUCGUCGCAUCCUGGGGGCUGGAGUAGGUCCCAAGGGUUGGGCUGUUCGCCCAUUAAAGCGGCACGCGAGCUGGGUUUAGAACGUCGUGAGACAGUUCGGUCUCUAUCCGCCGCGCGCGUAAGAAACUUGAGGAAACCUGUCCCUAGUACGAGAGGACCGGGACGGACGAACCUCUGGUGUGCCAGUUGUCCCGCCAGGGGGCACCGCUGGUUAGCUACGUUCGGAAGGGAUAACCGCUGAAAGCAUCUAAGCGGGAAGCCUGUUCCAAGAUGAGGUUUCUCACCCCCCCCUUUGCGGGGGUUAAGGCCCCCCCCUACAGACCAUGGGGUUGAUAGGCCAGAACUGUACGCACAGCAAUGUGUUCAGGUGACUGGUACUAAUCGGCCGAGGACUUACCAACA